AAUCAGAGACUGGGCUCAUUAGAAAGCUGACCUGAAUUGGGGCUGAGUUCAUAUAAAGCCGACCUGAAUUGAAGGCUGAAUGCUAACCAGGCUCAACCCAGCUUAUCUAAAUACCGACUUGAGCUACCUAAAUUGACUUUCGAUGAAAUAUUAUAAUCAGAUCAUAUAAAUAUCGAUCUGACUCAUUUCAGAUCAUAUAAAUAUCGAUCUGAAG
rnacentral:lncRNA from 1 species